GUUUCUUUGGAAACGUAUAGCAAGCAAGCAAGCAAGCAAGCAAGAAAGAAAGAAAGAAAGAAAGAAAGAUAACAAGCACCAACAUGUCAGAAAGCUGUAAUGGGCUGACAUCCGCAAGGGGACAAACAAGGACAGACAAACGGAUUAAGUCGAUUAUAUCGACCCCAGUGUGUUACUGGUACUUAUUUAAUCGACCCCGAAAGGAUGGAAGGCAAAGUCGACCUCGGCGGAAUUUGAACUCAGAACGUAGUGGCAGACGAAAUACUGCAGGCUAUGAAAAUACCCACACAACUGAGAACAAUGCAAAGAAGAGAAAAACAAGAACAAAUCAUACCAUUUAUAGUGACGCACAAUCCAUACUACCAGAGCAUCUUCAAAAUCGUUAAAGCAAACCUACCAAUCAUUGCUCGAGUAAGGAAUUAAGAGAUAUCAUUACAGACCAAACUAUAACUCUCAAUAAAAGACAGCCUAAAAGCUUGAAACAGUUAUUAACAAAGGCAAGGUUUGACCUUAGCAACAAAACCAACCAUUCACUGUGUCUAAAUGCAAUAAUAGCCGAUACGGUACAUGCCAGUUCAUUCAUAGUGGCCCAUAUAUGGACACAAAAACGGGGGAAAUAUUCACAAACAAAAUUAUGAACUGUAAAAGCAGAAAUUUAAUCUACUGCAUCAAAUGCCCGAAUUGUGAAGAGCUGUAUGUUGGCCAGACAGGCAAUGCACUAUCAGAACGCUCACGAGUGCACCGACAACAAAUUAAAAAUCCAGAAG